rnacentral:rRNA from 1 species
UACGUAGGGCGCGAGCGUUGUCCGGAAUUAUUGGGCGUAAAGAGCUCGUAGGCGGUUUGUCGCGUCGGUUGUGAAAACCCAAGGCUCAACCUUGGGCCUGCAAUCGAUACGGGCAGACUAGAGUACUGCAGGGGAGACUGGAAUUCCUGGUGUAGCGGUGGAAUGCGCAGAUAUCAGGAGGAACACCGAUGGCGAAGGCAGGUCUCUGGGCCAUUACUGACACUGAGAAGCGAAAGCAUGGGGAGCGAACAGG